GUCGCGGGCGCAGGAAAUUUGAGAGGAGCUGUCCUUAGUACGAGAGGACCGGGAUGGACGUACCGCUGGUGUACCAGUUGUCUCGCCAGAGGCACGGCUGGAUAGCCAAGUACGGCAGGGAUAAGCGCUGAAAGCAUCUAAGCGUGAAGCCCCCCUCAAGAUGAGAUUUCCCAGUAAGUAAGACCCCUUGUAGACGACGAGGUAGAUAGGUUCGGGGUGGAAGCGCGGCAACGUGUGGAGCUGACGAAUACUAAUCGGUCGAGGGCUUAUCCUA
rnacentral:ncRNA from 1 species